rnacentral:rRNA from 1 species
GUUGUUUAAUUCGAAGAUACACGAAGAACCUUACCAGGUCUUGACAUACCAUUGACAGGCACAGAGAUGUGCUCUCCUUCGGGCAAUGGAUACAGGUGGUGCAUGGUUGUCGUCAGCUCGUGCCGUGAGGUGUUGGGUUAAGUCCCGCAACGAGCGCAACCCUCAUUGUUAGUUACUACCAUUCAGUUGAGGACUCUAAUGAGACUGCCAACGACAAGUUGGAGGAAGGUGGGGAUGACGUCAAAUCAUCAUGCCCUUUAUGACCUGGGCUACAAACGUACUACAAUGGCCAAUACAAAGAGAUGCGAAGCGGUGACGUGGAGCGAACCUCAGAAAGUUGGUCUCAGUUCAGAUUGAAGUCUGCAACUCGACUUCAUGAAGGCGGAAUCGCUAGUAAUCGCGGGUCAGCAGACCGCGGUGAAUACGUUCCCGGGUUUU